AGCUGCUCUUUGUGUGACGCAUUUCCUCACCCAGCCGCAGAUUGCAACAGAGGAGAUGAGAUAAAGAUGAGGAACCUCAACAGAAAGGAUGGAUGUAAACAGUGGGUUUGCUGUGCAGUGACAAGAGCCCAGCUUGGGAAGCUUUUUCAGCUCCCAAGAGGAUGUAAAGGGCACAAGGUCACCUUUAUUGAACUGUUUUCCUGUUGGCCAUCCCUUCUGGGCCCCAAGUUCUGCAUUUGCAGCAUCUGGCACAGUGCUGGGCACAUCCUGAGCUUGAGAAAAGGAACCUGGGCAGGAGGAGAUAAGCCAAUAUAUCUGCCUGUUGAGCCUACAGUUAAAAAUAAUUAUAGAGAACAUGGUGAUGCUUCAGAAACUGUCAGGAUCUUUACUCUUUGUCCAGGAAGCCCUGAACUGUCAUUGGAAAUAAGGUGCCAGAACCACAGAUGUCCUUAGGCAGAUGAAGCUGAGUGGAUACUUGGACCUGUAAAGAAGGAAAAGCUGAAUCUGCUCUGGGGUUUCCACAUGACAAGUUCCCCCUACCUUUCUCUGCUGGGUCAGCUUCAUGGUGGCUGUGAAGACCCUGACCCAAGUCUGAGGUAGCUAGAGUCCAGGCAGUGCUGGAAGUCAACAUCAGCAUGGCCCUGGGGUUGCAAGAUGUGCCAAGGACCAACUUGGGGCCUAAGAGUACCAUGAAGAUGCUUGUUGCUCGUAUAAGAGACCUCAAGCUUACUAAAGAUGGGAGUGUGCUGCUUCCUGAAAGGCAAAUUCAACACCGACAAGCCUCCUCAAUAGCCAAAAUAGCAACAGCUCGGGAUGAUAUAACUGUUGAUGGUACUACUUCUAAUGUCCUAAUCAUUGGAGAGCUCCUGAAAUAGGCAGAUCCCUGAAUUUCCGAAGGUCUUCAUCCAAGAAUAAUAACAGAAGGAUGUGAAACUGCCAAGGAAAAGACACUUCGGUUUUUGGAACAAGUCAAAGUAAGCAAAGAGGUGAACAGGGAAACACUUACAGAUGUGGCUGGAACAUCUCUCCACAGUAAAGUUCAUGAUGAACUUGCUGAUGUCCUAGAGGCUGUAACAGAUACCUUUUUGGCCAUUAAAAAACAAGAACGUAUUGACCUCUUCAUAGUUGAGAUCAGGGAGAUAAAACAUAAAUCUGAUACCAAUACAUGUUUAAUCAUAGGUCUUGUUUUGGAUCAUGGGGCAUGGGAUCCUGAUGUGAAAAAGGGAGUGGAAGAUGCAUACACCCUCACAUACACAUGUCAUUAGCAUAUGAAAAAGCAAAAGUGAACUCUGGCUUCUCUCUCUCUCUCUUUUUUAUAGGAGUUCAGAAGAGAGAGAGAAACUGGGGAAAGCAGAGAGAAAAUUCAUUGAAAAUUGGGUCCU
ensembl:lncRNA